GAUGAACGCUGGCGGCGUGCCUAAUACAUGCAAGUCGAGCGAACAGACGAGGAGCUUGCUCCUCUGACGUUAGCGGCGGACGGGUGAGUAACACGUGGAUAACCUACCUAUAAGACUGGGAUAACUUCGGGAAACCGGAGCUAAUACCGGAUAAUAUAUUGAACCGCAUGGUUCAAUAGUGAAAGACGGUUUUGCUGUCACUUAUAGAUGGAUCCGCGCCGCAUUAGUUAGUUGGUAAGGUAACGGCUUACCAAGGCAACGAUGCGUAGCCGACCUGAGAGGGUGGUCGCACACACGGGAACUGAGACACGGUCCAGACUCCUACGGGAGGCAGCAGUAGGGAAUCUUCCGCAAUGGGCGAAAGCCUGACGGAGCAACGCCGCGUGAGUGAUGAAGGUCUUCGGAUCGUAAAACUCUGUUAUUAGGGAAGAACAAAUGUGUAAGUAACUAUGCACGUCUUGACGGUACCUGAUCAGAAAGCCACGGCUAACUACGUG
rnacentral:rRNA from 1 species